rnacentral:rRNA from 1 species
AUUGAACGCUGGCGGCAGGCCUAACACAUGCAAGUCGAGCGCGCGGCGGACGGGUGAGUAAUGUCUGGGAAAAUGCCUGCUGGAGUGGGAUAUCUACUGGAAACGCUAGCUAAUACCGCAUACCAUCUGAUGUGCCCAGAUGGGAUUAGCUAGGAGGUGGGGUAACGGGUCACAUAUGCGACGAUCCCUAGCUGGUCUUAGAGGAUGACCAGCCACACUGGAACGGAGACACGGUCCAGACUCCUACGGGAGGCAGCAGUGGGGAAUAUUGCACAAUGGGCGCAAGCCUGAUGCAGCCAUGCCGCGUGUGUGAAGAAGGCCUUCGGGUUGUAAAGCAAGUUCAGCGGGGAGGCGUUACCCGCAGAAGAAGCACCGGCUAACUCCGUGCCAGCAGACGCGGUAAUAC